rnacentral:rRNA from 1 species
GCCUACACAUGCANGUCGAACGGCAGCACAGAGGAGCUUGCUCCUUGGGUGGCGAGUGGCGGACGGGUGUAGGAAUACAUCGGAAUCUACUCUGUCGUGGGGAGAUAACGUAGGGAAACUUACGCUAAUACCGCAUACGACCUACGGGUGAAAGCAGGGGAUCUUCGGACCUUGCGCGAUUGAAUGAGCCGAUGUCGGAUUAGCUAGUUGGCGGGGUAAAGGCCCACCAAGGCGACGAUCCGUAGCUGGUCUGAGAGGAUGAUCAGCCNCACUGGAACUGAGACACGGNCCAGACUCCUACNGGAGGCAGCAGUGGGGAAUAUUGGACAAUGGGCGCAAGCCUGAUCCAGCCAUACCGCGUGGGUGAAGAAGGCCUUCGGGUUGUAAAGCCCUUUUGUUGGGAAAGAAAUCCAGCUGGCUAAUACCCGGUUGGGAUGACGGUACCCAAAGAAUAAGCACCGGCUAACUUCGUGCCAGCAGCCGCGGUAAUACGAAGGGUGCAAGCGUUACUCGGAAUUACUGGGCGUAAAGCGUGCGUAGGUGGUCGUUUAAGUCCGUUGUGAAAGCCCUGGGCUCAACCUGGGAACUGCAGUGGAUACUGGGCGACUAGAGUGUGGUAGAGGGUAGCGGAAUUCCUGGUGUAGCAGUGAAAUGCGUAGAGAUCAGGAGGAACAUCCAUGGCGAAGGCAGCUACCUGGACCANCNCUGACACUGAGGCACGAAAGCGUGNGGAGCAAACANGAUUAAAUACCNUGGUAGUCCGCGCCCUAAACGAUGCNAACUGGAUGUUGGGGUGCNAUUUGGCACGCAGUAUCUAAGCUNACGCGUUA